UUCUCUCUCAACUCACUUCAUCCCUAAAAAAAAGAGAAUCCGAUUGUCACCACCACCACCACCGGACACCGCCUCUCCUCCCUCUCUCGGCCUUACUGCCUCCCAAUUGAAAGAUCCCAAAAUCAGCAAAACCCUCAAAUCGGAACCCUAAAUCUCCCGUCGCCCUCCUCUCGGCUCUCACCGCCAAAUCGACUACUAGUGCCAUCUCCCCUUCGCACACAUGCACCGCUGCUGCUGUUCGCCGACGGGGUCAGGGACACCACCACCCGUUCCCUGUCGGGUCCGGCAGUUCACCCCGAAACAACCUCGAUUCCACCCGAACCAGCCCCGAGGUGGAUGGGAGAAUUAACAACAGGUUCUUGGAAGAUAUCCUCCUUUCAAAAUUGCAGGACCAGAUGGAGAAUUAACAGCAGCGUCGCUGGUGUCUCGUUGAUAUUGCUUGCUAUAAACCCAACAAUGAUUACGAGUUGAAAAUGUAAGGUUGAGAAUUUGUACCCACUGAAGAGAGUGAAGCUGGUGGUAUGUGUACUAUGAAGUCUUUGUUUGGCAUUUGAACAAUAUUUCUGGCGAAUGUUGUCAAUUCCCCUCGUAGCACAGGAUCGGGCCAAUUCAAGCACUGGGCAGCCUUGCUAGGGAUCCGAGAGCCCAUUUUUCAGCCAGUUGUCGCUUUUUAUUGCCUGUACUACCGCAGGUUUAUGAUACUAUCCCACAUCGGUUUCACACAAAAGUGUGGAAUAGCAUAUAAUAGGGAGUCAACCCUUUAACUUUGACCAUGGUUUUGGGUUAAGUUAGGGCUUCCUAUCUUAUAUGCUUAUCAAUUUGGUGCGGUGAACGUGGAUCCGGAUGUCCUACUGAAAGGGGCUACCCGUAGGUGUGACCAAAGGGGUGCCACCGAAAAAUGUGGGCCGGAAGGA